rnacentral:rRNA from 1 species
AUACGGAGGAUGCGAGCGUUAUCCGGAUUUAUUGGGUUUAAAGGGUGCGUAGGCGGUUUUUUAAGUCAGCGGUGAAACGCAAGGGCUCAACCCUUGACCUGCCGUUGAAACUGGGGGACUUGAAUGCGGAUGCUGUGGGGGGAAUGUGUGGUGUAGCGGUGAAAUGCAUAGAUAUCACACAGAACACCGAUUGCGAAGGCAUCUCACAAAUCCGUGAUUGACGCUGAGGCACGAAAGUGUGGGGAUCAAACAGGAUUAGAUACCCUGGUAGUCCACACUGUAAACGAUGAUGACUCGCUGUCGGCGAUAUACAGUCGGUGGCCAAGCGAAAGCGAUAAGUCAUCCACCUGGGGAGUACGACCGCAAGGUUGAAACUUAAAGGAAUUGACGGGG